CCUGGAUUUUUAAUACAGUGACGGAAGGCUACUGGAUACAAUCAAGUACUUGCGAAGUCUGUGUGGAUAACGAUGGGAUUGACCCCUCUAAAUUAUUGGAGUUGAUGUAUCGCUAUAUUUCAAUUUAGUAAAGCCUUGGCCAGGAUAAUCCAUGAGAUGGAUUUGAAAAAUUGAAAUACAAUGUGGAUGAAGUAAUCUCGGUUGACAGUUAACUUGAGACCAUCCUAGAGCAUUCAGGAUCAAAAGGAUGAAUUAUGCGGUAACCAUGAAUAUGGGUUCUAAAAUAUUCCUUUGCGAUAAUUCGACCUAUUUGGACGUCGGAAACUAUUACUAAAUGAUAUCUCGAUUAGUGCAAGAAUUGAUUCCUGUGCUACCGGCUUAAUGUUUGAACCUAUGGAGUCACGCACACAAGUCAGACAAAGUAAAAAAGAAUUGACCUAUGUUUAUAUGUCCAAUCUGGAAAUACUCGACUUGAUUGAACAUAUAAGCUAACUUGAUUGAGAAUUGAGUUAUGGAUCAAACGGGAUUGAAGAGUUGACUAUGUCUAGUUAACACUACACAUGAGGUUCAAGUUCUAUCCCAAAGAUGAACAAUUUCUAUCUAUGAUCCAUGGAACAUAUGAAAGAUUG
rnacentral:lncRNA from 1 species